rnacentral:lncRNA from 1 species
AUCAUCAUCACCGCCACAAACUGCAUCGUCUCGGAUGGAGAUGUGCAGACGAUAUCUGAGAAUUAGGAUUGCUGCUGAUGCAUCCAUGGCUUCAGCUGUUGGGUCUAGAAGAGCUUGGAGUCGUGCUUUGCUUCUCAAGAUUCGAAGCAGCAGACAAUCCCGGUCCUCUAAUUCAUCUACCAGAAGAAUAAGCAUGAAAACGAAAUGCUUAGGGAAGAAGAUGAAGAAGAAGAAGAAGAAGCUCAAGUGUAGUAAGGAGAUCACCGAUCUUCGGAAGUUCGUACCUGGUGGCGAAGCCAUGGAUGCUUGCAGUUUGUUGGAUGAGGCUGCUCACUACAUAAGGAGCCUCAGCACUCAGGUACAGGUGAUGAAAAGGAUUGCGGAUGUUUACUCUGUUAAUUAAUUAAGCGACUACUUAUGUGUUCA